rnacentral:misc_RNA from 1 species
AUCUUUAUCGUCUAAAUUAAUCUGAAAUUUUAAUAGUACAUUGAGAGCCAGUUCGACUGUGUCUUAUUUUCAUUGUAAUUUAUUCUGUAUCGCCAUUUUUUGCAUUUAACAUUUGUACUUCAAUAACUGGUAGCUUAAAGAUUGUUGGAAAUCCAUCGUAAAUAGUUGAAUAUUGUAAUAGUCAUGUGAUAUGGCCAGUAAGUUGAAGAUGAGAACGAUUUGCGACAGGGGCAUUGCUGUAAGGUCAAACAUUCCGAUACGCUUUAAAACUUAAUAGGAAGAUAUCUGGGUCGUCAUCAAAAGCACUAGAAUCGUUUUCGAAUUGUCUUUUUCGUUUUCUAGAAGCAUGAUAUUAAUAGAAAUUCAUUUUUUACCAUCACUGAAAUCCUUUAGCCAUGUUUUGCACGUAAACAAAGAAGAACUUCAAGAAUUAUUAGACAAGGAGUAAGUGCGAAAAAAGAUGUUCUUCCGGGUAUUUGGAAAAGAAAAAAAGUUUUGUCACUUCCACAUGACUUCACUUGUUUAAAAGUAAUCACCUUUGUUACUAUUUAUAGAUGUCCAAAAAAUAUCGAUGGUGCCUAUAUGUAUUGAUAUACAAUGUUUUGUUUUGUUUUCAUGGUUACUGUUUGUAAAAGAUAUGUAAUUGUUACCAAAGAAUAUUUAUUACAUUUUGUAUAUAUCUAUGUUAAAAUUGUCCCAUAAACUUCGUACCUAAUGCACAUAGUGCAGUAGAUACAAUUAAAAUUGAACUAUCCAAC